rnacentral:rRNA from 1 species
CUGGCGGCGUGCUUUACACAUGCAAGUCGAACGGAAUCCAAGGAGCUUGCUCCUGAAGAUUUAGUGGCGAACGGGUGAGUAUCACGUGAGCAACCUGCCCCAAAGACUGGGAUAACACCGGGAAACCGGCGCUAAUACUGGAUACCUUUAUUUGAUCGCAUGAUUAGAUAAAGAAAUGUUUUUUCGCUUUGGGAGGGGCUCGCGGUCCAUCAGCUUGUUGGGGGGGUAACGGCCCACCAAGGCUACGACGGAUAGCUGGUCUGAGAGGACGAUCAGCCACACUGGGACUGAGACACGGCCCAGACUCCUACGGGAGGCAGCAGUGGGGAAUCUUGCGCAAUGGACGAAAGUCUGACGCAGCAACGCCGCGUGAGGGACGAAGGCUUUCUGAGUUGUAAACCUCUUUCGACAGGAACGAUAAUGACGGUACCUGUAGAAGAAGCACCGGCCAACUAUGUGUCCGGUGUCUGUG